rnacentral:rRNA from 1 species
UACGUAGGGCGCGAGCGUUGUCCGGAAUUAUUGGGCGUAAAGAGCUCGUAGGCGGCCUGUUGCGUCCGCUGUGAAAACUCGGGGCUUAACCCCGAGCCUGCAGUGGAUACGGGCAGACUAGAGGUAGGUAGGGGAGAAUGGAAUUCCCGGUGUAGCGGUGAAAUGCGCAGAUAUCGGGAGGAACACCGGUGGCGAAGGCGGUUCUCUGGGCCUUACCUGACGCUGAGGAGCGAAAGCGUGGGGAGCGAACAGG